AUAGCCCCAAAAUCAUAUAUUGAAGCCUUAACACCCCGUACCUGAAAAUGUGACCAUUUGGAGAUAAGACCUUUAUAGAAAUAGUUACAUUACAAUGGGAUUAUUAAGGUGGGCCCUAAUCUAAUAUGACUAGUGUUCUUACAAGAAUAGAAAAUGAGAAUAUAGACAACAUAAAGAGGCACCAUGUGAAAACACUGAAAGAAAACAGCUAUUUACAGGUCAAGGAGACAGGCCUCAGAAGAAGCAAUCCUUCGGACAGCUUGAUUUUGGACUUCCAGCCUCUGCUGCCUGGCAGUUUGGCUAUAUUUGUGCAAAGAAAAGUACUAUUCGCUGAUUCAGCGUUGAGUCUUUCAGGAUGCAGAGGCUGUCGGAGAAUCACAGUAACUCGCCAUACAUUUGGAUGCCUCUGACACCGGGUAGACCAUAUGAUAACCUAGUGCUCAGGAAGUAUUCAGGUUUCUUCCUAAAUAAUUAUACUCUUGAAAACUUUAAAAUUAUGUCCCGUGAACAGAAUAGGUAGCUUCAUUUGGGGUCACUGUGUAUCAGUAACUAAAUGUCUUUUUAAUCUUUG